UACGUAGGGGGCAAACGUUGUCCGGAAUGACUGGGCGUAAAGGGCGAGUAGGUGGUUUGCCAAGUCAGAAGUGAAAACUGUGGGCUCAACUCACAGAUUGCUUUUCGAAACUGGUAAACUUGAGUGCAGGAGAGGGAAGCGGAAUUCCUAGUGUAGCGGUGAAAUGCGUAGAUAUUAGGAGGAACACCAGUGGCGAAGGCGGCUUCCUGGCCUGUAACUGACACUGAGGCGCGAAAGCGUGGGGAGCGAACAGGAUUAGAAACCCCCGUAGUCC
rnacentral:rRNA from 1 species